AGUAGGGAAUAUUGCGCAAUGGGGGAAACCCUGACGCAGCGACGCCGCGUGAGUGAUGAAGGACUUCGGUUCGUAAAGCUCUGUCGCAGGGGAAUAAAUUCGAAUGUACCCUGUAAGAAAGGAUCGGCUAACUUCGUGCCAGCAGCCGCGGUAAGACGAGGGAUCCUAGCGUUGUUCGGAAUCAUUGGGCGUAAAGCGGGUGUAGGCGGCUCUGUAAGUCAGAUGUGAAAGCCCUGGGCUCAACCCGGGAAGUGCAUUUGAUACUGUAGAGCUUGAGUGUGGGAGAGGCUAGUGGAAUUCCUGGUGUAGUGGUGAAAUACGUAGAUAUCAGGAGGAACAUCGGUGGCGAAGGCGGCUAGCUGGCCCAACACUGACGCUGAGAUCCGAAAGCGUGGGGAUCAAACAGGAUUAGAUACCCUGGUAGUCCACGCCGUAAACGAUGGAUACUUGUUGUUGGAGGUAUUGACCCCUUCAGUGACGAAGCUAACGCGUUAAGUAUCCCGCCUGGGGAGUACGGUCGCAAGAUUAAAACUCAAAGAAAUUGACGG
rnacentral:rRNA from 1 species